UGAGUAACACGUAUCCAACCUGCCGUCUACUCUUGGCCAGCCUUCUGAAAGGAAGAUUAAUCCAGGAUGGCAUCAUGAGUUCACAUGUCCGCAUGAUUAAAGGUAUUUUCCGGUAGACGAUGGGGAUGCGUUCCAUUAGCUAGUUGGCGGGGUUACGGCCCACCAAGGCAACGAUGGAUAGGGGUUCUGAGAGGAAGGUCCCCCACACUGGUACUGAGACACGGACCAG
rnacentral:rRNA from 1 species